rnacentral:lncRNA from 1 species
UGUUCCUCCAGCCACCUCAUUAUACAAAUAAUAAUAGCUAUCAUUUACUCAGCAGAUGUGGCACAAAUAUUUUAUAUGCAUUAUCUCAUUUUCCUUGUAAAAAAAUUCUGACUCUGAUAAUGGAGCUAAAAUGUACAGAAAUGAGAGUACAAGGUAGAAUGUGAAAAAAAUUACGUGAGUGAGGUAAGUGUAAAGCACCAAGAGAGCCCAGAGGAGGGGGGGAUUAUUUCUAGCCUAAGAGGCUCAUUCAGUCAGCAUUCAGCACAUAAUUAUUGUAUGCCUUUCACAUCCCAGUCUCAAGAAUCUCACAGGCCUUGGGGAAAAGGAUGAGGAAACAGAUCAUCUUGACAGUGUGAUGUCAUCUGAUGACUGCAAUCUGGCCAUCAGGGCAGGCUACUUGGAAGAGGAGGCAUACGAACUACGAACAUGUGUGGUUUAUAACAUCAGCACCAUGAGCUUCUGGAAAGGAAAGAG